UACGUAGGGGGCAAGCGUUGUCCGGAAUCAUUGGGCGUAAAGAGCGUGUAGGCGGCCCGAUAAGUCCGCUGUGAAAGUCGAGGGCUCAACCCUCGAAUGCCGGCGGAUACUGUCGGGCUAGAGUCCGGAAGAGGCGAGUGGAAUUCCUGGUGUAGCGGUGAAAUGCGCAGAUAUCAGGAGGAACACCGAUGGCGAAGGCAGCUCGCUGGGACGGUACUGACGCUGAGACGCGAAAGCGUGGGGAGCAAACAGG
rnacentral:rRNA from 1 species